ACGGAAUCUCUCGUUGCUAUGCACGCAGACUGUGUAAACAGGCCAAUAGAAGUCGCCUGUGUGAAAACUGAUCAUCUCAACAGGGGUUGUCAGGGACCCCUCGCUCUGAAGCCACCUUCCCAGUGUGACUUACAACAUAGGACAAGUAGCCGCGUGGACACUCUCACAGAAGGAAGGACAAGAAGAGCGACUCCACAUAUACAAGCAGGAGCUUUAGGAUGUUGGGCUAUGUUAAAAUGGGGAUGGGGAGAGACAGGGAUAACAUUUGUGAUGGCAGGUGCCAGGCAGCACAGGGAGAGUGAUACAAUUUCCAGUUGGGAAAUUUCACCCAGAGCUUGCUGCUUUCUUCUGAUUUUACUUCUCAAUAUCUGAAGUAUUUAUUUAAUUUUUUUCUGUCUUAUUGGACUAUAAAAUCAUGGAGUAUGAGGAUUAAGUCAUCUUUCCAUCUUUUUCCUAAGUCACAUAAACAAAUUCCAAUCCCUGCGCUCAUUUCUCAAAUUGAACAAGAGUAAAGAAGGCCAACAGCCAACUACAUCUUAUCAAGAAGAGUUUCUUAGAAAUAAGAUUAAAAUGGAAACAGACUUUUAAAGGAGAAACGGCUGCAUCCAUUUAUUGCAUUUUAUUGUCUACAGACUGUCAAGAGUAUACUGGAUGUGAGAAUUCAGGUACUGAGCAAAGACUGGGUAAACAAGGCUUGAUUUACUUAAACUUAUGUCACCUAACGAAUCUAUUAUGUCUUCAGAGAACCCAGAAUAUAGAAUCUAGAAUGUUUUGUUGACUUGCUGUUGAGAAUCUCUUAAUCUUGAAUCUCAAAACACAAGGAAAGAUCAUUUUGUCAAUCUCUCCCAAUAUUUUUUCUACCUGUGAAACUAUAUCAUAAAUCUUUGAUUAUGGGAAUCAAGAAUCAAUCUUGUUUUAUCUCUAUGUCUAACUCAUCCAGAUAAAAUGGUAAUUGUGAAGUUGUAUCAGCAUUAAAUUAAGAUGCGGUUUUGAUUCAUACAUAAUAUAUGAAUCCUCAGGACACAAACUGAUUUAAUAUAUGCCUUUAUUUAGUUUUUACUGCAUUCAAGCUAUUGUGCUAGUCUUCGCAAGCGUAGAAAAAUAAGAUGAAGUUCUUAUCCUCAAAGGGUUUUGAUCUAGAGAGGCACACAGACAUACGAAAAAUUUACUAUAAAACUGACUAACUCUGCAGGGCUGGGCAGGUGGCAUGGUGGUUAAGUUCGUGGGCUCCUCUUCUGCAGCCCGGGGUUCAGGGGUUCGGAUCCUGGGCGGACCUACACACCUCUCAUCAAACCAUGCUGUGGCAGUGUCCCACACGCACAAUAGAGGAAGAAUGGCAUAGAUGUUAGCUCAGGGUCAAUCUUCUUCACGAAAAAAAUAAAAACAAAAACAAAAAAACA
rnacentral:lncRNA from 1 species